rnacentral:rRNA from 1 species
CGUAGGGUGCGAGCGUUAAUCGGAAUUGCUGGGUGUAAAGGGCGCGUAGGUGGUGGCUUAAGCGUGCGGUGAAAGCUCGGGGCUCAACUCCGAGUCGGCCGUGCGAACUGGGCUCACUGGAGCAUAGUAGAGGCGGGUGGAAUUCCGGGUGUAGCGGUGGAAUGCGUAGAGAUCCGGAAGAACACCGGUGGCGAAGGCGGCCUGCUGGGCUAUGGCUGACACUGAGGCGCGACAGCGUGGGGAGCAAACAGGA